rnacentral:lncRNA from 1 species
AUUCCUAAGUCAAGUCUUUGCUGUUACCAUCAAUAACUGCUAACUCAGAGGAUGCAACCUUAGUAAUUCAUUUCCUUAAUGGCCAGUUUCACAAAGAGGCUGCAGGAAGCUGCUUCCAGCAGUCUGAGUCCUGAGGAGGAGACGAUAACAGUGGGAGAAGCACCUGGUAACAGCGGCACUUCAUCCAGGAAGAAAACAGGAUCUAAAAUAUAAACAACAUCCUUACAACACAAGACUCCAAACCCCACCCCCCCUUUUUUUUCCCCAUUAAACCAUGAGGCCUCUGGACAAG